CUUUUGAGUAUAAUUUAAGGUCUGGCCUGCCCAAUGAGUUUUAAAUGGCCGCGGUAUUUUGACCGUGCAAAGGUAGCAUAAUGAUUAGUUUUUUAAUUGAAAGCUGGAAUGAAAGGUUGGAUGAGAAAAUAGCUGUCUCUGUUAAAAUUAAUUAGAAUUUUAUAUUUAAGUUAAAAAGCUUAAAUUUUAUUAGAAGACGAGAAGACCCUAUAGAGUUUUAUUUAUUUUUAUUUAAAAAUUUUUAGUAUUGAAUAUUCUUUUUUUGAAGAUAAAUUUGGUUGGGGUGAUCAAAAAAUUUACUAAACUUUUUUUAAAUUUUUACAUAAAUUUAUGAUUAUUUGAUCCUUUUAUAAAGAUUAUAAGAUAAAAUUACCUUAGGGAUAACAGCGUAAUUUUUUUAAAGAGUUCUAAUCGAAAAAAAAGAUUGCGACCUCGAUGUUGGAUUAAAAUAAAAUUUUGGUGUAGAAGCUAGA
rnacentral:rRNA from 1 species